rnacentral:rRNA from 1 species
CCUACGGGGGGCAGCAGUAGGGAAUAUUGCUCAAUGGGGGAAACCCUGAAGCAGCAACGCCGCGUGGAGGAUGAAGGUUUUCGGAUUGUAAACUCCUUUUGUUAGAGAAGAUAAUGACGGUCUCUAACGAAUAAGCACCGGCUAACUCCGUGCCAGCAGCCGCUGUAAUGCGGAGGGUGCACGCGUUACUCGGAAUCACUGGGCGUAAAGAGCGCGUAGGCGGGUUAGCAAGUCAGAUGUAAAAUCCUAGGGCUUAACCAUAGAACUGCAUUUGAAACUGUUAUUCUAGAGUAUGGGAGAGGUAGGUGGAAGUCUUGGUGUAGGGGUAAAAUCCGUAGAGAUCAAGAGGAAUACUCAUUGCGAGGGCGACCUGCUAGAACAUAACUGACGCUGAUGCGCGAAAGCGUGGUGAGCAAACAGGAUUAGAUACCUAGUAGUC